GCCACUCACACCCGUAACCCCUUCCUCUCUCAUUCCCUCGCUCAUCCCUAGUAUCCGACCCUCGCCGCCGUCCUCCUCCAUCACGCGCCGCCACUGUCUUCCUCCACCGUGCGCCGCCUCUCCUUCACCAUUCGACCGCCCGCCUCCUCUGAGUCCGAGCUCCACCCAAGAAUGACAAACAAACCAAGCACUUGGAAUGGAAGGCACGCAAUCCCGCCUCUGUCUUUUCCAGAUGGAUUUUCUCGACUGCGCCUCCAUUUCCGCUACAGUGAAGGGUGCGGCCGGUGUUUCCACCUCACAUCUCCGUGCAAUGUCGACCGAGUUGAUGAUACACAAGUGAAUUCCCUAAAUAAUAGAUCCCCAAAUUCUCUAAGUUUUGAGCAAGUAUCAAAUCUAGUUGUACUUGUGAAACCAGUGGCAAAUUUUAGAUCCUUCCGUUAAGGGACCCAUUAAAGUGCAGACUCUGGCCAAAGAGCUUCGGAUUUGCUGCUUUGUCUAUCAAUUCCUCAAUUUCGGCCACCAUUCCAAACCCUGAUUGGCCGUCUGAUAGGUUAAGAAUGAAGAGUGUUGGACUGAUGAGGAAUACUACAAGCAAAAUGAGUGAAUUGAUGUUGGAAUAUAUGGGUAUUGCGAAAAUAAACGUGAAACCGAGUCGAGGAUGGAUCCUCUUUCCGAAAAUUAGAUACGCCCCGGUAGUGCCUCUGGUGGGUGGCGUUUUAAUCCAAGGAUAAAACAGUUUCCCUCUCCAAUGAGAGUGGCACCUCUAAUCGUUGGAGCUCCGGCGAACAAAACGAGAGAGAAACUGAGCUGGAGAGGCUGUCGGAAAGCUAGAAGAGAUGAGAGAAGGACGAGAGGAUUGUUUGUGUUGUGUUGGAUCUUAGAAUGAAGGGGGAAGCCCUUUAUAUAGGCGUCUCCACUCAGCCAAAAUGGCAGGGGAUCAAUUACGAUCAUAAUUACGACCUUAAUAAUCGAUGUAAUUAAUCAUAAAUUCAAACCUUCCGUUUGAAGCAGUCGUAAUUGAUUCUAAUUACAAACCUUCCGUUUGUGACGAUCGUAAUUUAUUCUAAUUUCAAACCUUCCGUUUGAAACGAUUGUAAUUUAUUUUAAUUUCAAACCUUCCGUUUGAAAUUAUAAUAAAUCUAUCCAACGGAUAAUAUUUUAUCCAAAUAAUAUUGUGACUUAGGCCAUAUACUUGGAUUUAAUUUGGGGUUGCACAAUUUGGUUUGUCUCGAGACAGGCAAAAUAGCCAAAAUAUUAACAAACCCCAUACACAAUAAAUAAAUAGUAUUUAUUUAUUUCUUCCAAAUUAAUAAUUAAUUUGGUACACCGGCCCAUCGCAUUUUCACUCACAAAAUAAUCGAUUGCAAAAUAACCGAUUAUCCAACAACUGGUGCAUGUUUACAAAAUCUAAAUUUUUAUUCAAGAAUUAUAUUUCUUAAUUAAACUUGAGCGUGGUCUUCAAAUUAAUAUGUAACUGGUGCAUGUUUACCAAAUCUAUGCAGCGGUGAUUACAUAAUCAUAUUCUUGGAAUAAACUUUUAAUAGUUCACAUGGGCACCGCUGGUUGUAUAGUGUGGCAUGCAAUUUUAAAUUUUCCUCAUGGUGAACUCAUUUCAUAUUAUUACAUCGUUGAACAAGUCAACUAAGUAAUUAAUUAAGAUAAACUCUUCAUUGCUCUAAUAUGGAAGCUCUGAGUUUCAUUAUGAUGAAUAGAGAAGUAAGGCGAUUUGCCAGAAUAACAUGACUAAUUUGUUUUGGUACUGAACUAUAGAUGUUGACUGUGAUUACUCCUCAGAAUCCUCUAACACAUGAACCUGUUUCUUAUCAUAUUGUGGAUGAUUGUAAUUAUAUAUUAUCGUUUUUUUUUACUCCUAUUUAAGGUUGGAUUGUAGGUGUGCAGAAACACAAGUGGGCUUAAAAUCACUUCUAACAUUGCAAUAGAAAACUAAAGAUAAUUAGGUGUAACUUCUCUUUUGAAGUAAUCUUAAUGAUGUAUUAUGUUGUCAAAAUUAGAUAUUACAAUCUUGUAGUUUAAAUUUUCGCUUUUCUCCUUCAUCUUUGGACCAAACUUAAUCAAUGAAUAUUUUUGCAUCUCAUUGUGCUGCUUUUUCCUAUGGCACUAUGUAGUGGCUGGAAUCACAUACUAUGCGGUUAAGCUAUCUCCGAGAUCGAACCAGUGAUUAAGGAUGUUGGAUGGAAUAUCUUUUUCUUACUACAUCUUGGUUUUAUUUUUCAAAUUUAUGUUCACUUUUUCUUCUUCUUUCUUUUUUAAUUUUUUUCUUAUCCUUCCCGUCUUUCUUCUUUUUUUUUUCUUCCAAGUUGUGCUGCCAUCUCUGAGAUAUAGCCAGUGAUUAAGGAUAUCAGCUUUGCUUUAACUUUUAUCGAAGUAGUGAGCAGCGCCUAGUUAGAUCAUUUGGCUUAUAUUCUAGUUAUAUAUAGUGCUUGCCUUUGGUAAAGUCUUGAUUGAUAAAUUUUCUCAUGUUUUGGUUGCUUGACAUGAAAGAAGAUUAACUAUUGUAGUUGUUGCACUUUGAUACAAUUUGAUUGCAAGUUCAUAAUAUAUAUGCUUUGUUAGUUUGUUACUAAGUGUGAGGAGAGAUCUUUGCUAUUCCAAAUUUUGUUGCUAACUUGAGAAUUUUUCAGGAGCUUAGGAUGUUAUCAAUAUGGUUGUUGUUAUGGAGCCAGGGAAGUUCGCCUUAUUGAAUUUUUUGAUUCCUUAACUUGAUAUCUUGUUGGUUUGUAUUCUUCACAAUUAUCCUAAUGAGUCUUUGAAAUUUUUUGACAUGCAUUUUGAAUUGUUGUGUAAUAUAUUGGUUGCAAGCUUGUUCUUAUUUGCGAUUAGUGUAGAUUGUGCUAGGCCUAACGAUUGAGAUGUGCUUUACUUAAGUUAAUGUUGGAAUUAACUUUAGCCGCUGUCUUGCGCUGAUUUUUUUUUUCUCUUUCCGUUUAAUGACCUUUUGGUUGCUGGUGGUUGCGUUUCUUUGGGAAGAACUAAAAUCUAGUAACGAUUUGUUGUUCAAGUUAAUUGUAGCUCCUCCUUGAUGCUGGGCGAAGUUGUUUGAGAUGAACAAACAUGUAAAUGAAAGUUUUUUGUGAUUUCAUAAUUGAUUUUAUUUAAGUUAAUUUGUUUCCGGGCUGCUUUUUUUAGUGUAAUGUGAAUUCCUGCUAGCGCUAGCAUUGUAAUACGGAAUUAGAUUACUAUUGUAAAUGUUAAAGAUAAGUUUAAUUUAGAUUAUCUUACCUGUUGUUUUCUUAGUAUAUUACGAUUUAGCUUUAUCAUUUUAGCUUCAAUUUUAAUCCUUAGCCUAGCUUAGCUAUCUGUUUAAUCUAUACGAUAAUUGUCAUGAUGUAUGUUGAUGUACUUUAUGCAAUUAAUUGUUCAAUGCAUUGUAGGGAAUUAGCCGCACCGAAAGAAGGUUAGAGAUUCCGAGGACUAAGUUCAAUGAACCACUUAUGAUUAGUUUACAUGAAUAUGUGAUGGGGUUUUAAAGUAAUAUCUAAAGUUAUGUAAAUUAACAUUGUCUCUUGUUCAUAGUUGCAAACACUUUUAUGUAGAUUGGGUUUCGUGGCUUGAAAACACAUGUUGGUGAGAGAUCAUGCUUUCGUCCCUAACCUAGAUUCGUUUGCAAUUUUGAAUACGUAAUAGCCAUGAAAUUUAAGUUUUUGCAUAAUCCUUAAUGUGUAUUGUUGUUUGUAUAAUUGUGGGGCAUAACACAUAUUUAUCUACUGUAUUUAGAUUUUUUCCGUUACCCUUUGUUUGUAUGUUUAUUUUAUGCUUGCGUUCUAUGAUUGUCUUGUUUAUAU